GAUGAACGCUGGCGGCGUGCUUAACACAUGCAAGUCGAACGGAAAGGCCGAAGCUUGCUUCGGUACUCGAGUGGCGAACGGGUGAGUAACACGUGGGUGAUCUGCCCUGUACUUCGGGAUAAGCUUGGGAAACUGGGUCUAAUACCGGAUAUGACGAUCUCUUGGAUGGGGUUGUGGAAAGCUUUUGCGGUUUGGGAUGAGCUCGCGGCCUAUCAGCUUGUUGGUGGGGUAAUGGCCUACCAAGGCGUCGACGGGUAGCCGGCCUGAGAGGGUGUACGGCCACAUUGGGACUGAGAGACGGCCCAGAGUCCGACGGGAGGCAGCAGUGGGGAAUAUUGCACAAUGGGCGCAAGCCUGAGGCAGCGACGCCGCGUGGGGGAUGACGUCCCUUGGGUUGUAAACUCCUUUCGCAAUGGACGAAGCCUUUUGGUGACGGUAGGUUGAGAAGAAGCACCGGCUAACUACGUG
rnacentral:rRNA from 1 species